rnacentral:rRNA from 1 species
AACGAACGCUGGCGGCAGGCUUAACACAUGCAAGUCGAGCGCCCCGCAAGGGGAGCGGCAGACGGGUGAGUAACGCGUGGGAAUCUACCCAUCUCUACGGAAUAACGCAGGGAAACGUGUGCUAAUACCGUAUACGUCCUACGGGAGCAAGAUUUGUCGGAGAUGGAUGAGCCCGCGUUGGAUUAGCUAGUUGGUGGGGUAAAGGCCUACCAAGGCGACGAUCCAUAGCUGGUCUGAGAGGAUGAUCAGCCACACUGGGACUGAGACACGGCCCAGACUCCUACGGGAGGCAGCAGUGGGGAAUAUUGGACAAUGGGCGCAAGCCUGAUCCAGCCAUGCCGCGUGAGUGAUGAAGGCCCUAGGGUUGUAAAGCUCUUUCACCGGUGAAGAUAAUGACGGUAACCGGAGAAGAAGCCCCGGCUAACUUCGUGCCAGCAGCCGCAGUAAGAC